GACGAAGGAUGCAAGCGUUAUCCGGAUUCAUUGGGUUUAAAGGGCGCGUAGGCGGGCUUGUAAGUCAGUGGUGAAAUCUGUGGGCUUAACCCACAAACUGCCAUUGAUACUGCAGGUCUAGAGUACAGUUGCCGUUGGCGGAAUAUGACAUGUAGUGGUGAAAUACUUAGAUAUGUCAUAGAACACCGAUUGCGAAGGCAGCUAACGAAACUGUAACUGACGCUGAGGCUCGAAAGUGCGGGGAUCAAACAGG
rnacentral:rRNA from 1 species